CACAGUAAGUAUCCCACCUGGGGAGUACGACCGCAAGGUUGAAACUCAAAAGAAUUGACGGGGGCCUGCACAAGCAGUGGAGUAUGUGGUUUAAUUCGAAGCGACGCGAAGAACUGUACCAGGGCGUGACAUCGUCUGACGACUCUAGAGAUAGAGUUGUCCUUCGGGACAGAGUGACAGGUGGUGCAUGGUUGUCGUCAGCUCGUGUCGUGAGAUGUUGGGUUAAGUCCCGCAACGAGCGCAACCAUUGUCGUUAGUGGCCAGCAGUCACUCGGGCACUCCAGCGAGACUGCCGGUGAUACCUCGGAGCCACCUGGGGAUGACGUCAAAUCAUCAUGCCCCUGAUGUCCUGGGCUACACACGUACUACAAUGGCUGUUACAGAGGGAAGCGAAACCGCGAGGCGGAGCUAAUCACCAAAGGCAGCCACAGUUCGGAUUGCAGGCUGCAAUUCGCCUGUAUGAAGUCGGAAUUGCUAGUAAUGGCAGUCACGCAUUCUGCAGUGAUACCGUUCCCGGGCANUUGUACACACCGCCC
rnacentral:rRNA from 1 species